ACGCUCGACACCUACGGGAGGUAGCAGUUGGGAAUAUUGGACAAUGGAGGAAACUCUGAUCCAGUGACGCCGCGUGAAGGAAGAAGGUCUUCGGAUUGUAAACUUAUUUUGUCAGGGAAGAAAAAUGACUGUACCUGAAGAAAAAGCACCGGCUAACUACGUGCCGNAGCGCGGUAAGUUACUUGAGGCGGGGCGUGGCGAAACGGGACGC
rnacentral:rRNA from 1 species